GCUCGAGGAUAUCGUUCAACUCGAGUGGCUUUCAACGUUCGUGGAGGAUUCCUUCUCUUGUGGGGGUUUGACACUCGGAAAAGAACAUUGUUCUGUCAAAAAGGAGUCCUCUGAUAGCAAAUUCCUGACCUCAAGUCCUGUUUCUGUACUUGAGAGCAGCAGCAGCAGCAGCAGCUCAUCCACGUCAAGCUCGGGACCGGGGAAAACACUUCCUCCUCUUAGUCCAUGCCCCCGUGGUCCACAACGUGCUCGGACUAAACGUCCUCGUCCUACAACUUUUAAUCCCCGGUCAGUAAAUCACCUCAUGUUUCCAACAUCAGUAAGUCCCCAGCAAUUUGUUGCUCCUGGAGUUAACUCAUUGGACUCUGAGAAUUUCGCCGAGUCUCCCAUGAAGAAGAAAAAGAAAAUCAAGUUAUCGAUCCCUCUAGCUCCAAUCGAGACUAAUCAGGAUAACUACCAGCCCGUGCCACAAGCAGUUAGGAAAUGCUUGCAUUGCGAGAUAACAAAGACGCCUCAAUGGAGAGCCGGUCCAAUGGGACCAAAAACCCUCUGCAACGCCUGUGGUGUUCGU
rnacentral:misc_RNA from 1 species